UCCGUAGACUGUAUUGUAAGUUAUUUGUUAAAGCCUAAAGCCUAACUUUAGAAAAGCAUUUAAUACUACUAUACUUGAGUUUUUUGCAGAAGAGCAGAAUUUCAUGUCGAGGAGUAACGACUGCAGACACAUGAAGGAAUAUCUGUAGCGAAGGCGGCUCUUUGGUAAAAACUGACGUUGAGGGACGAAAGUGUAGGUAGCAAACA
rnacentral:rRNA from 1 species